GGGAUGCAUUUGAAGAUUAUGGA
rnacentral:siRNA from 1 species